CGGGCGGGACCGGCGUCGGGAGGGCGGGACACAGGACAGCGCGCCUCCGUAUCAAGAGGAGGGCCUUGGCCGGGACAGCGAUUGGAAAAUAAAGGACCAAUCGACCAAUCAAUCGAUUGGUUGAGGAUAGGAGUGAUUAAUAGCACCUGCGACCUAAAGGCCCCACCCCCCGGUCGCCACGACACCUGCACCUGCCGGUGCCGGUCUACUCCAUCAAAACGACGACAUCGACAUCGUCGUCGGCUCUGCGGGCGAGCGCCUGUCCUGGCAGCGGGUAGGCCAGCCCGCCGCGCGUGGGAGCGCGAGGUGGCGGGAGGUUGCCUACCCUCGAGUUCACAGGCGCCUCAGGAGUGGGAGCGAGCCAUCAUUACAUUCCGGCGCCUGUUCACCGACCCGACCGCGACAAGACACUCCCAUGGCCCCUGCAAGCGCUACUCCCUCGCCCGUCUAAACAAGAAUCAGAAAGCCUGGAGUUCCGCCUUGCAAGUAGUACCUGAAAAAUCAAAGUAGAUUUAGAACAGAAAAAUGUUUAGAACAGAAAAAUGAUAUGGUACGUGAUUGAGGAAAAAUAGUAAUAAAACAAACCUUUCGUGGGUUAAAGCUUGGCCUAAAGUCCAUUUGUUUGGAAUAUUAUGGAAACGUCCACCAAAUGUAUCUUCGAAGUACACACGCACGUUCUGA